UUACUUCAGCAGCACAUAUACUAACAUUGGAAUGAUACAGAGAUUAGUAUGGCUCCUGCAUAAGGGUAUUUUUUAAAGAAAAACAAAAAACCUAU
rnacentral:snRNA from 1 species